CCGAGAAGGGCUGAGGGGCUUUGAGCCGCAGUACGACCUUCACCUGGACAGACAGUGGAUUUCUGCUUCGUCUGGGUGGCGAGGGCAUAACGGGCCGUUUACCGCACACUAGAAGGCACCAACCGCCCCGCACCGCUCCAGACGGGCACACCAAACGCCCGCCGCCCGUUUCGCGCUCACGCCCCACGGCGGCCAAGGAGCAUGCGCGCUACGGCGCGCCGGGGUGCGCUGCCCCGAGCGUGCGCCCCAGGAAAUCUGUGCGCGACGUCCGUUCGCACGCGGCCUGACUGUGUGGCUCGCAUUGGAGCGCCCGCGUCUGUCACUCCUGCCCUCGCCUCCACAGUAACGCGCGCGGUGGGAGCUCUGAUCACCCACCUGGAUGGGUGCCCCAGUGGCGACAGCUGCUCCGGGGGAAAGGUCUGAGAGCGGUGUGGCCCGGGUCGUGGGAGCCCCGCACCUCUGGCGUCGAGGUGAAGGAUAGCUCCAGCGACGGACUGAUCUGUCCAGAAUAUAGUUGAAGAAUACAUCCUUCAAAUGGAUUUAACUGCAGGAGACAGAGCAAAUUCUUCACAGGGACUUUAAUCUACAUGUGUAUCCCAAGAAGAUGAUUCAGUUGACUACUAUAGAGCAUGAGAACAUGGCUCAGGAAGACACCAGGCAAGGAGACUGAGGCACAUGCAGCAGGCCUGAAGCAGAGCAACCCAGUUGACUUGCAGACCCAUGAACAAGAAAAUCA